rnacentral:misc_RNA from 1 species
GAUGAAGAACGCAGCGAAAUGCGAUAAGUAAUGUGAAUUGCAGAAUUCAGUGAAUCAUCGAAUCUUUGAACGCAUCUUGCGCUCCUUGGUAUUCUGAGGAGCAUGCCUGUUUGAGUGUCAUUAAAUUCUCAACUACACUGACUUUGAAUUGGUGUGGCUUGGAUUUGGGGGGAAAAUUGUUGUGGGCUUUUUGUAUAGUCUGCUCCCCUGAAAUUGAUUAGCGGUUCCUUUGUGGAACUGUCUACAGGUGUGAUAAUUAUCUACAUCUUAGACAUCUGCUGGAAUGCUGCUUUCUAAACCUUACUUGUAUUGACAAUCUUGACCUCAAAUCAGGUAGGACUACCCUCUGAACUUAAGCAUAUCAAUAAGCGGAGGA